rnacentral:lncRNA from 1 species
AUGCAGCCCCGGCUGCGGAGGUGACACUCACGGACCUUAGCCACCGCCGCCGCCAUCGCCACCAUGGACGAACAGGAGGCAUUGAACUCAAUCAUGAACGAUCUGGUGGCCCUCCAGAUGAACCGACAUCACCGGAUGCCUGGAUAUGAGACCAUGAAGAACAAAGACACAGGUCACUCAAAUAGGCAGAAAAAACACAACAGCAGCAGCUCAGCCCUUCUGAACAGCCCCACAGUAACAACAAGCUCAUGUGCAGGGGCCAGUGAGAAAAAGAAAUUUUUGAGUGACGUCAGAAUCAAGUUCGAGCACAACGGGGAGAGGCGAAUUAUAGCAUUCAGCCGGCCUGUGAAAUAUGAAGAUGUGGAGCACAAGGUGACAACAGUAUUUGGACAACCUCUUGAUCUACAUUACAUGAACAAUGAGG